AAUUGGGUCUUUCGGCCCAAUUAGAUCUUGACCGAGGUCAAUAAUUCCAUUACAGCUCGCUGACUUUGGCCCUGUUGUCGUCGGUGAGGUCGCCGGAGCAGUUGUCGUGGUCCGUGGCUUCCUUCCCCGUCGGUUGCUAUUUGUUUGCCUGCGUGUUGUUUGCUUCAAUUCCAGCUCCAGAUCAUAUCAUAAAAUGAACUGUUAAGGGUCUUAAUAUUAGCCUAAAACUAUGCUUUUCAUUCGCUGUCAGAUUAUAGAAAGCGCAAAUUUCAAAUCCUGUCAUGAGAGCUCGCAAACAUGUAAACCUCACAACCUGUUGGGGCCUCAGAGGCGGACCGCCGGCAGGCGCAGCCGUGCGGAGGUGGGGCUUCGGGGGAGCGCAUGGAGAAAUCCAUGCUUGGUUUCACGCUGAUUGGCAAUGGCGAUAUUGACUUCUCCUCGUACCUAUCAAGGCGGUAAUUGACGAGCAGUGACCAUCCGAACAACAAGUUUCUAACCAAACGAAUGAUGUGAUGCAUUGAUGUUGCGUGAAAACUUUACAAGGAUGAAGUGGAACGACGAAGAAGAAUAUUGAAGCUUAGUCUUCCAGAUUUUCUUUGUUUUAUAGCUUUAUUUCUUGUUUUGUGUGAAAUUUCUCAUUUGAGGUUUAGAGUCUAAAACUCUUGUAACAUUUGGCUAUAGAUAUUCACUUGUGACUGUUCAAAGGCUGGGAUUUUCCUAUACGUAAACCUCGUAACCGUAAAUCACAGGAGCACAUGACAACAAAUGCCUCUCCCGGCAAACAUGUAUUAUUAUUCAGCCAUCAUUGCUGUAGUUAUCGCAACCAGUUCACUUGGUUAGCGUUUAUGCUUGCUUACAUAGGAAGUGACAGACGUGUCCUGUUCAGACAGUACACCAGGAAAAAAAACAUAAAACAGCAAUAGAACUGUAGAUAAACGAGGGAUUUUACUUAGGUUGUCUACAGGACACUCUUAAAACGUUAUUUUGUGCGCUGCACACUCCAUUGUAAGCAAAAUGACCUUAUUCAUAUGCAAUUGGACAGGAAACUUUCAGAGGCUUGCACAAAAACUCAGCUCUCCUUAAGGAGCCACUAAAGAAUCUUCAUAUGAAGCAAAGAGGUGAGAAAUACUAGGGAAGGAGGGGAAAAUGAGAAACUAUUCAAGAAACUGCUUCCAUCCAUGGUUGGUAAAGAUCUAUCCUAGAGGGUAUUAGAAGGUUUUAUUGUAUAUGCUGUAUGUUGUAAUGGCUGUCAUGGUUUUGGUACUAUGUGAAGCUUGAUACGUUUUGAAGGUCAAAAUGAAGCGCAUCUUGCCUUCCAGCACACCAUUCGUCAUGCAUGUUGAUCUGGUACAUAUUUCUUCUCCAGUUACACCUUGUACCAUCAAUGCCCCUAAUGAGCAAACUUGGGAAUGUUACAUAUUUCUUUCCCAUAUGAUGCCUAGUGACACUAAUAAAAAGAUUGAAAUAUUUGAGCUGUACUCACAAAUAAAUUACAAAGGUAAUAACUUUUUAUACAUUGUGCCUGUCGCCCAUUGCAAUUUGCAAAAUUACUUCUGCUUCUAACUUUUUCGUUGCUAGAAGAAUUGGUUAUUCCUUUGAAAUCUUGACCCUACCCUGUUCUUGUGAACUCUAGAAAUUAGGAAAUCUGUUAUAAGCAUUCAUGAACUGUAUGUGUAUACCUUUUUCAUUGCCAUGAUCAUGAUGGAAAAUAAGGAUACAUACUAAACUCAAACAAUGGACAUCUUCAUUCAAGUAAUAACAUAAUAUAAAAAAAAAGACUCGACCAUGUGGGGAACAUUUUCCCCUGGGUUUGCCUCAAGAGAUGGCCAGAUGGGAGUACGGAACCCUUUAGGGAGGUAGUCACAAGCUACGGGGACCUGAGUUUGAGCUUAGGUGGGCAAAGCUUUCAACUUGGGGGCUCUACCAACUGAGCUAUCAAUUUUUUUUCUCUGUACUUAUGCAAAAUAAUUGGCUGGGAGGAAGGAAAGGGAUCGCACGGUCGUUGCUGCCUCUGUACAAUGGGUCUUACAGAAGCUCCAAUCGUCCAAGAACAGACAGAUCCACCAAGUACACACAAACAAGAGCGUGUUCAUACUUAACCUGUUGGCUGGCGUGAUUUUAUCAGUGGUCCCAGCCAACGGAUAACAGAUUCAUUUAACUCCACAUGGCAAUGCGAAAAUGAGCAUCCUGGAGGCACCCUGUAAGCUUCUGUUGUAAAUAUGUAAUCCAAACAGAGUAAUUAUGCUCAGAGGUACUCAUACAGCUCAAUUGCAUUCUUUAUAGUAA